AUGAUAUUAUGGGUACAUUUUUAAAGUAACUCUUUCAACCUUUCUCAUGCUUCAUAAAUUAACUCUCCAACCAAUUGAGUGAAGGAAGUAAUGUCUUUCCUAAUCAU